rnacentral:tRNA from 2 species
GGAGAGAUGCCUGAGAGGCCGAAAGGAACGGUUUGCUAAACCGUCGUACUUAGUAAUAGGUACCGAGGGUUCGAAUCCCUCUCUCUCCG